rnacentral:tRNA from 1 species
UGCCGCUUAGUUUAUAUAGAACCAUUAAUUUGCACUUAAUAAGAGAGUACUGCCCAGCUGCGG